CAGUAAAUGGAUAUUAUUAAACAGCAUGGGGUAGUGCAAACUGGGAAAGAAAACUUGUAGUGUGCUGCCUUUGAGCAGACCUGGCUUGCAUGCUGUGACAGGGCAAUUGUCGACAUGCUUUUUCAUGCCAAUCUGCAGCUUUUUCAACUCUAGAUGCUAUGGCAACCAGGGUUUAACAGACUAAGCAGCUAACAAGCUUCCCUGAUGGAAUUGUCUGGUUGUGUGAUUGCCUUGUCUUAG
rnacentral:lncRNA from 1 species